rnacentral:tRNA from 1 species
GGGUCCUUUGCCUAGUGGCCGAAGGCUCUCGGCUCAUAACCGAGUACUGUUAAUGACACAUCACUGGUUCGAAUCCAGUAGGACCCACCA